rnacentral:misc_RNA from 1 species
UACGAGGGGUGCAAACGUUGUCCGGAAUUAUUGGGCGUAAAGCGCGCGCAGGCGGUCUCUUAAGUCUGAUGUGAAAGCCCCGGCUCAACCGGGGAGGGUCAUUGGAAACUGGGAGACUUGAGUACAGAAGAGGAGAGUGGAAUUCCACGUGUAGCGGUGAAAUGCGUAGAUAUGUGGAGGAACACCAGUGGCGAAGGCGACUCUCUGGUCUGUAACUGACGCUGAGGCGCGAAAGCGUGGGGAGCAAACAGG